rnacentral:rRNA from 1 species
GACAUAGGAUGCAAGCGUUAUCCGGAAUGAUUGGGCGUAAAGCGUCUGUAGGUGGCUUUUUAAGUCCGCCGUCAAAUCCCAGGGAUCAACCCUGGACAGGCGAUGGAAACUACCAAGCUGGAGUACGGUAGAGGCACAGGGAAUUUCCGGUGGAGCGGUAAAAUGCGUAGAGAUCGGAAAGAACACCAAUGGUGAAAGCACUCUACUGGGCCGACACUGACACUGAGAGACGAAAGCUAGGGGAGCGAAU